UGUUAUUUUGGCAGAUUAGUGCGUUAGAUUUAGGAUCUAAGAAUAUAGAUAAUUUCUAUAGGUAACAG
rnacentral:tRNA from 1 species